CGCGGCCUAUCAGCUUGUUGGUGGGGUAACGGCCUACCAAGGCGACGACGGGUAGCCGGCCUGAGAGGGCGACCGGCCACACUGGGACUGAGACACGGCCCAGACUCCUACGGGAGGCAGCAGUGGGGAAUAUUGCGCAAUGGGCGGAAGCCUGACGCAGCGACGCCGCGUGGGGGAUGAAGGCCUUCGGGUUGUAAACCCCUUUCAGCAGGGACGAAGCGGAAGUGACGGUACCUGCAGAAGAAGCGCCGGCUAACUACGUGCCAGCAGCCGCGGUAACACGUAGGGCGCAAGCGUUGUCCGGAAUUAUUGGGCGUAAAGAGCUCGUAGGUGGUCUGUUGCGUCCGCUGUGAAAACUCAGGGCUUAACCCUGAGCCUGCAGUGGAUACGGGCAGACUAGAGGUAGGUAGGGGAGAAUGGAAUUCCUGGUGUAGCGGUGAAAUGCGCAGAUAUCAGGAGGAACACCGGUGGCGAAGGCGGUUCUCUGGGCCUUACCUGACACUGAGGAGCGAAAGCGUGGGGAGCGAACAGGAUUAGAUACCCUGGUAGUCCACGCCGUAAACGUUGGGCGCUAGGUGUGGGAUCCUUCCACGGAUUCCGUGCCGCAGCUAACGCAUUAAGCGCCCCGCCUGGGAGUACG
rnacentral:rRNA from 1 species